rnacentral:lncRNA from 1 species
CAUCAGCUGAUGUCAGCGGAAGACCUGGAGCCAUUGGGGACACCUAUGUUGAUUGAAGAUGGGUACGCUGUGACACAGGCAGAACUGUUUGCUCUGCUUUGCCGCCUGGCCGAUGAGUUGCUCUUUAGGCAGAUUGCCUGGAUCAAGAAGCUGCCUUUCUUCUGCGAGCUCUCAAUCAAGGAUUACACGUGCCUCCUGAGCUCCACGUGGCAGGAGUUAAUCCUGCUCUCGUCCCUCACAGUUUACAGCAAGCAGAUCUUUGGAGAGCUGGCUGAUGUCACUGCCAAGUACUCACCCUCUGAUGAGGAACUGCACAGAUUUAGUGAUGAAGGGAUGGAGGUGAUUGAACGACUCAUCUACCUGUAUCACAAGUUCCAUCAGCUAAAGGUCAGCAAUGAGGAGUAUGCAUGCAUGAAAGCAAUUAACUUCCUGAAUCAAGAUAUCAGGGGUCUGAGCAGUGCCUCACAGCUGGAACAACUGAACAAGCGGUAUUGGUACAUUUGUCAGGAUUUCACUGAAUAUAAAUAUACACAUCAGCCAAACCGCUUUCCUGAUCUGAUGAUGUGCUUGCCAGAGAUCCGAUACAUCGCAGG